rnacentral:rRNA from 1 species
UACGUAGGGGGCAAGCGUUGUCCGGAAUCAUUGGGCGUAAAGCGCGUGUAGGCGGGUCGGUAAGUCCGCUCUGAAAGCCCGGGGCUCAACCCCGGGAGGCGGGUGGAUACUGUCGACCUCGAGUCCGGAAGAGGCGAGUGGAAUUCCUGGUGUAGCGGUGAAAUGCGCAGAUAUCAGGAGGAACACCCGUGGCGAAGGCGGCUCUCUGGGACGGUACUGACGCUGAGGAGCGAAAGCCAGGGGAGCAAACGGG